rnacentral:rRNA from 1 species
GAGUUUGAUCGUGGCUCAGAUUGAACGCUGGCGGCAUGCCUUACACAUGCAAGUCGAACGGCAGCAUGAUCUAGCUUGCUAGAUUGAUGGCGAGUGGCGAACGGGUGAGUAAUACAUCGGAACGUGCCCUGUAGUGGGGGAUAACUAGUCGAAAGAUUAGCUAAUACCGCAUACGACCUGAGGGUGAAAGUGGGGGACCGCAAGGCCUCAUGCUAUAGGAGCGGCCGAUGUCUGAUUAGCUAGUUGGUGGGGUAAAGGCCCACCAAGGCGACGAUCAGUAGCUGGUCUGAGAGGACGAUCAGCCACACUGGGACUGGGACACGGCCCAGACUCCUACGGGAGGCAGCAGUGGGGAAUUUUGGACAAUGGGCGAAAGCCUGAUCCAGCAAUGCCGCGUGUGUG